AUUGAACGCUGGCGGCAGGCCUAACACAUGCAAGUCGAACGUGUGGCGGACGGGUGAGUAAUGUCUGGGACACUGCCUGAUGGAUGGGGAUAACUACUGGAACCGGUACCUAAUACCGCAUACCAUCGGAUGUGCCCAGAUGGGAUUAGCUAGUAGGUGGGGUAAAGGCUCACCUAGGCGACGAUCCCUAGCUGGUCUGAGAGGAUGACCGGCCACACGGGAACGUAGACACGGUGCAGACUCCUACGGGAGGCAGCAGUGGGGAAUAGUGCACGAUGGGCGCAAGCCUGAUGCAGCCAUGCGGAGUGUCUGAAGAAGGCGUUCGGGUUGUAAAGUACUGUCAGCGGGGAGGAGUGAACCGCAAGAGAAGCACCGGCUAAAUCCGUGCCAGCAGCCGCGGUUAUUC
rnacentral:rRNA from 1 species